CCUACGGGGGGCAGCAGUGGGGAAUCUUAGACAAUGGGCGCAAGCCUGAUCUAGCCAUGCCGCGUGAGUGAUGAAGGCCUUAGGGUCGUAAAGCUCUUUCGCCUGUGAAGAUAAUGACUGUAGCAGGUAAAGAAACCCCGGCUAACUCCGUGCCAGCAGCCGCGGUAAUACGGAGGGGGUUAGCGUUGUUCGGAAUUACUGGGCGUAAAGCGCGCGUAGGCGGACAUUUAAGUCAGGGGUGAAAUCCCGGGGCUCAACCCCGGAACUGCCCUUGAUACUGGGUGUCUUGAGUUCGAGAGAGGUGAGUGGAAUUCCGAGUGUAGAGGUGAAAUUCGUAGAUAUUCGGAGGAACACCAGUGGCGAAGGCGGCUCACUGGCUCGAUACUGACGCUGAGGUGCGAAAGUGUGGGGAGCAAACAGGAUUAGAUACCCCCGUAGUC
rnacentral:rRNA from 1 species